GUUUCCUGAAAAGUUAAAGGUUGAGGGACAAGAACAUGAAACUUUUCUAUAUCUAAAUGUUAUGUAUAUUUAUACAAUUGAACUUUGAAGAUUGCAAUCUUAUGUAAUAGGAGAGCAUUUGACCAUGAAUGAGCAACGUUUAUAUUCACACUGUCAAAAUAAAAUGCACUGAUUUAUGGUUUUCCUAGCUGGGUGAAUAUUCAUGCAUAGCUUUCCAUUUGCCCUCUGAACUCUCUAAUUCUUAUUCAGAUGCGAAGUCUGGAUGCGCGCAUUCCUUUUCCUUUGUUUCUUCGUCCUAGGAAUUUAGAUAUGCAAAUUUAACACUAGCGCGCAAGUGACUGGGUUACGUUUGGGGAGAGUGUGAAUGUGUACGUGUUAUACGUUAGCGAGAGUGGUGGGCAGAAGCCAUUUUGUUGCGAGUAGAGAAGGACCUGCUGUGUCGCCCUUGGGGAGGGAGUACGUUUGAGAGUGAAGGGAGGAUUUUUGGGCUUGCUGUUCAGAGCGAGUGUGGUCCCCUUUUUUAUUGCUGCUUUCUCAUUCUGCUGUUGGGAGCGGAAGGAGCAGACAACCGUCCUUCGGACACGAUCCCUCCAGGAGGCAGGCAACGGGGUCUUCAAUCUACAGAAUAACUCCGUUUAGGGUGGUGUUCAACCACAUUCCAUUGAUCGACUCUCCGAAGUACAAGAGACCGAUUUAGACUGUUUCCUACCCUGCAAUAUGGUGAACUCAUCACGAGCCAUCGAGCCAUUCGACCCAGUUCUCGUUCUACAUGAUUCCACGGUCAUCUAACGCGGUGGUCAUUUUCGCGCACACAAUCGUCUGACGCGGUGGACUUUGUCACGCACUCCAACGUUUGUAACGCGUUAUCCAUUGAACGAAUAGUAUAAUGGCAGCCUUAAUUUAAUUGACCCUCUUAGGAAAUUAUAAGCUGAUAUAUUUUGGAUUUGUCAACGCUCAAUAUCUUGAAUUUAUGUUGCAUUUCGUUGUAUUGUGUAAUUAAAAUCACCACUAUCAUA